GCGGGUGUAGCUCAGUAGAGCGUGUGCUUAGCAUGCAUGAGGUCCUGGGUUCAGUCCCCAGUAUCUCCA
rfam:Camelus ferus unplaced genomic scaffold scaffold958, whole genome shotgun sequence.